rnacentral:rRNA from 1 species
GACGAACGCUGGCGGCGUGCUUAACACAUGCAAGUCGUACGGUAAGGCCCUUUCGGGGGUACACGAGUGGCGAACGGGUGAGUAACACGUGAGUAACCUGCCCACAACUUUGGGAUAACGUUAGGAAACUGGUGCUAAUACUGGAUAUGUGCUCCUGCUGCAUGGUGGGGGUUGGAAAGCUCCGGCGGUUGUGGAUGGACUCGCGGCCUAUCAGCUUGUUGGUGGGGUAGUGGCCUACCAAGGCGGCGACGGGUAGCCGGCCUGAGAGGGUGACCGGCCACAUUGGGACUGAGAUACGGCCCAGACUCCUACGGGAGGCAGCAGUGGGGAAUAUUGCACAAUGGGCGCAAGCCUGAUGCAGCAACGCCGCGUGCGGGAUGACGGCCUUCGGGUUGUAAACCGCUUUCAGCAGGGACGAAGCUUUUUGUGACGGUACCUGCAGAAGAAGCACCGGCUAACUACGUG